CUUCCGGAGGCUCAGAGGUAGCGUUUGCGAGGCUAGGGAACCGAGAAGGACGCUGCCAAGAUUAUGCCCCUUAUCGCUUCGGGAAUGGCGCGGUCCAACCGCGUCAAUCUUCCGCCGUUAGCGGCGCGACUCGGGGCCGUGGUUCUGCCUCCGAGGUCACCACCUGCCUGGGUAGCCUUUGGCCUCCAGCCUCCGGCCGUCGAUCCCUCCAGGGAGGGGCUGGACAGGGCCAGGUCGGGAGAGAUUUUAUUUAUUUGACAGAGAGACCACAAGCAGACGGAGA